GGGGCUUUAGCUCAUUCGGGAGAGCAUCUGUUUUGCAAGCAGAAGGCGGCGGGAUCGAAGCCCGCAGGCUCCA
rnacentral:tRNA from 2 species